GAAGGCAGCAGGCGCGCAAAUUACCCAAUCCUGACACAGGGAGGUAGUGACAAGAAAUAACAAUACAGGGCGAAUGUCUUGUAAUUGGAAUGAUGGUGACCCAAACCCUCACCAGAGUAGCAAUUGGAGGGCAAGUCUCCUGCCAGCAGCCGCGGUAAUUCCAGCUCCAACAGCGUAUAUUAAACUUGUUGCAGUUAAAAAGCUCGUAGUUGUAUUUUUGCGUUAGCGGUUUGACCAUUUGGUUGGUUAUUUCGUUAUCGCUUUUGGGAAUUUCCCUUUUUACUUUGAGAAAAUUAGAGUGUUUCAACCA
rnacentral:rRNA from 1 species